GACGAACGCUGGCGGCGUGCUUAACACAUGCAAGUCGAACGGAAAGGCCCUGCUUUUGUGGGGUGCUCGAGUGGCGAACGGGUGAGUAACACGUGAGUAACCUGCCCUUGACUUUGGGAUAACUUCAGGAAACUGGGGCUAAUACCGGAUAGGAGCUCCUGCUGCAUGGUGGGGGUUGGAAAGUUCGGCGGGUUGGGAUGGACUCGCGGCUUAUCAGCUUGUUGGUGGGGUAGUGGCUUACCAAGGCUUUGACGGGUAGCCGGCCUGAGAGGGUGACCGGCCACAUUGGGACUGAGAUACGGCCCAGACUCCUACGGGAGGCAGCAGUGGGGAAUAUUGCACAAUGGGCGGAAGCCUGAUGCAGCAACGCCGCGUGCGGGAUGACGGCCUUCGGGUUGUAAACCGCUUUCGCCUGUGACGAAGCGUGAGUGACGGUAAUGGGUAAAGAAGCACCGGCUAACUACGUG
rnacentral:rRNA from 1 species